UACGUAGGGUGCAAGCGUUGUCCGGAAUUAUUGGGCGUAAAGAGCUCGUAGGCGGUUUGUCGCGUCGGCUGUGAAAACUCGGGGCUCAACCCCGAGCCUGCAGUCGAUACGGGCAGACUAGAGUGCGGUAGGGGAGACUGGAAUUCCUGGUGUAGCGGUGAAAUGCGCAGAUAUCAGGAGGAACACCAAUAGCGAAGGCAGCUCGCUGGGACGUUACUGACACUAAGGCGCGAAAGCGUGGGGAGCAAACAGGG
rnacentral:rRNA from 1 species